rnacentral:lncRNA from 1 species
AUUCGGGAGAGCUUGAACCUUACCUACUGCUACAGUCCAGCAGCAAAUGUAUAGAAUAAACAUUCUGGCUUGAUAGUAUAGCGCUGGCUUGAAGGCUGUGUACGUGUGCGUGUCAAGGUAGCCUGGAUUUUUUUCUGAAGCUUUGCCUAUAUAUUAAUAUAUAAACACGCUUUCAUACAUGCUAAUCUUCCGCCACAAUAAACCCAGGUCUACUUAUC